rnacentral:rRNA from 1 species
GACGUAGGGCGCGAGCGUUGUCCGGAUUUAUUGGGCGUAAAGAGCUCGUAGGUGGUUUGUCGCGUUGUUCGUGAAAACUCACAGCUUAACUGUGGGCGUGCGGGCGAUACGGGCAGACUAGAGUACUGCAGGGGAGACUGGAAUUCCUGGUGUAGCGGUGAAAUGCGCAGAUAUCAGGAGGAACACCAGCGGCGAAGGCGGCGCUCUGGGCCGGUACUGACACUGAGGAGCGAAAGCGUGGGUAGCAAACAGG